rnacentral:rRNA from 1 species
CCGAUUAGCUUGUUGGUAGGGUAACGGCCUACCAAGGCUCCGAUCGGUAGGUGGCCUGAGAGGGUGGUCACUCACACUGGGACUGAGAGUGGGCCCAGACUCCUACGGGGGGCAGCAGUCUAGAAGCUUCCACAAUGGACGAAAGUCUGAUGGAGCGACGCCGCGUGUGGGAUGACAGCCGUGAGGUUGUAAACCACUGUCAGCAGGGAAGAAUGCCUUGAUGGUGAAUCAGGGAGAGACGGUACCUGCAGAGGAAGCCCCGGCUAACUCCGUGCCAGCAGCCGCGGUAAUACGGAGGGGGCAAACGUUGUUCGGAUUUACUGGGCGUAAAGGGUGUCUAGGCGGUUCGAUUAGUCUGGUGUGAAAUAUCCUCGCUCAACGAGGAAGACGCAUUGGAAACUGUCGAGCUCGAGAGUGGAAGAGGCAGGUGGAAUUCCUGGUGUAGCGGUGGAAUGCGUAGAUAUCAGGAAGAACACUCGUGGCGAAGGCGGCCUGCUGGUCCAUUUCUGACGCUGAAGCACGAAAGCCAGGGGAGCGAACGGGAUUAGAUACCCCGGUAGUCCUGGCCGUAAACGUUGAACACUGGAUGUCGGGGGUAUCGACCCCCUCGGUGUCGGAGCUAACGCGUUAAGUGUUCCGCCUGGGGAGUACGACCGCAAGGUUGAAACUCAAAGGAAUUGACGGGGGCCCGCACAAGCGGUGGAGGAUGUGGUUUAAUUCGACGCAACGCGAAGAACCUUACCUGGGCUUAAACCGCAGGGUAAACCCUCUGAAAGGAGGGCUGCUUCGGCAAUCCUGUAGAGGUGCUGCAUGGCUGUCGUCAGCUCGUGUCGUGAGAUGUUGGGUUAAGUCCCGCAACGAGCGCAACCCUUGCUCUUAGUUACCAGCGCGUAAUGGCGGGGACUCUAAGAGGACUGCCCUCGCAAGGGGGAGGAAGGUGGGGAUGACGUCAAGUCCUCAUGGCCCUUAUGUCCAGGGCUACACACGUCCUACAAUGGCCGGUACAAAGGGCUGCAAGCUCGCGAGAGUUAGCUAAUCCCAAAAAGCCGGUCCCAGUUCGGAUUGCAGUCUGCAACUCGACUGCAUGAAGGUGGAAUCGCUAGUAAUCGUGGAUCAGCAUGCCACG